AUGUCCGGAAGCCUGCCGAGAGGCGGGGGUGCCCGAAAGGGAACCGGAACACAGGUGCUGCAUGGCUGUCGUCAGCUCGUGUCGUGAGAUGUUGGGUUAAGUCCCGCAACGAGCGCAACCAUUGUCCCUAGUUGCUACGCAAGGGCACUCUAGGGAGACUGCCGGUGACAAACCGGAGGAAGGUGGGGAUGACGUCAAGUCCUCAUGGCCAUUAUGGGUAGGGCUUCACACGUCAUACAAUGGCCGGUACAGAGGGUUGCCAAGCCGCGAGGCGGAGCCAAUCCCCACAAAAGCCGGUCGUAGUCCGGAUUGCAGUCUGCAACUCGACUGCAUGAAGUCGGAAUCGCUAGUAAUCGCGGAUCAGCAUGUCGCGGUGAAUACGUUCCCGGGUCUUGUACACACCGCCCGUCACACCAUGGGAGUGGGUUCUACCAGAAGUAGGUAGGCUAACCGCGAGGGGGCCGCUUACCACGGUAGGAUUCAUGACUGGGGUGA
rnacentral:rRNA from 1 species